ensembl:lncRNA
GGUGCUGUAUAUUGCUGUGGGCUGCUGUGUAUUGCCGUGUGUCCUGUCAGAUAAACCCCCGCCUUCACGCACUUCGUCGCGGGAGGACAAGGAGACUGCUGGUCCUAGCCUAGUUCAGUAUAGUAUAUGUUGUGAGCGUGCUUCAGAUCUCCGGAGAUAGCACAGUACGCUGUGUCCAGCCCAGAGGUGAGAGCCAUUCAAAGCAAACUAACUGUGCUAUUGUGCCCAAGUUGAUACCUGUGGAGAGAAAAGGAGAGAGAGUGGGUAACACGAGGAGAGAUCGAGGAAACCUGUACUUACGCCGCUGCCUGUGGAGAGAAAAGGAAAGAGAGAGUGAGUAACACAAGGAGAAACAGAGGAAACCUGUACUUACAGUACGCUGUGUUCAGCCCAGAGGUGAAAGCCAUCCAAAGCAGAGUAACUGUGCUUUGCGUCCAAGUUGAUACCUGUGGAGAGGAAAGGAAAGAGAGAGUGAAUAACACGAGGAGGAAUAGAGCGAACCCUGUACUUACAGUACGCUGUGUCCAGCCCAGAGGUGAGAGCCAUUCAAAGCAAACUAACUGUGCUAGUGUGCCCAAGUUGAUGCCUGUGGAGAGAAAAAGGAGAGAGAGUGGGUAACACGAGGAGAGACCGAGGAAACCUGUACUUACGCCGCUGCCUGUGGAGAAAGAGAAAGCGAGUGAGCACCCAAGGAACGAACUGUGUGAACCAGUACUUACUGUGAGCUGUAAUCAGCGAAGAGGUGAGAGCAAAACCAAGCUGAACUAACUGUGCCUGUGUGUCCCAGCCGUUGCCUGUGGAGAAAGAGAAAGAGAGUGAGCACCCAGAGAACGAACUGUGUGAACC